AAUUUCGACAGAUCCCUUCGGGGUGAAGAUGAAAUGGAUUAGCGGCGGACGGGUGAGUAACACGUGAGUAACCUGCCUUUGACAUUGGGAUAGCCUCGGGAAACUGGGAUUAAUACCAAAUGACACUAACUGAUCACAUGAUCAAUUAGUCAAAGAAAUUCGGUCAAAGAUGGACUCGCGGCUGAUUAGCUAGUUGGUGAGGUAACGGCCCACCAAGGCGACGAUCAGUAGCCGGCCUGAGAGGGUGAUCGGCCACAUUGGAACUGAGACACGGUCCAAACUCCUACGGGAGGCAGCAGUGGGGAAUAUUGCACAAUGGGGGAAACCCUGAUGCAGCGACGCCGCGUGAGCGAAGAAGGCCUUCGGGUCGUAAAGCUCUUU
rnacentral:rRNA from 1 species